rnacentral:rRNA from 1 species
AUGAACGCUGGCGGCAUGCCUAACCCAUGCCAGUCGAUCGGUAAGGCUCUUCGGAGUACACGAGAGGCGGACGGCUGAGUAACGCGUAGGAACACACCCUGCAGUGAGGGAUAAGACACCGAAAGGUGUUCUAAUACCGCAUACGGUCUUCGGAUUAAAGCAUUUAUGCGCUGAAGGAGUGGCCUGCGUCAUAUUAGAUAGUUGGUGAGGUAAUGGCUCACCAAGUCGAUGAUGUGUAGCUGGUCUGAGAGGAUGAUCAGCCAGACUGGAACUGAGACACGGUCCAGACUCCUACGGGAGGCAGCAGUGAGGAAUAUUUCACAAUGAGCGAAAGCUUGAUGGAGCAAUGCCGCGUGCAGGAUGAAGGCCCUCGGGUUGUAAACUGCUUUUAUAAGAGAAGAUUAUGACGGUAACUUAUGAAUAAGGGACGGCUAACUACGU